CUGUACCUACGGGGGGCAGCAGUAGGGAAUCUUCCACAAUGGGCGAAAGCCUGAUGGAGCAACGCCGCGUGGGUGAAGAAGGUCUUCGGAUCGUAAAACCCUGUUGUUAGAGAAGAAAGUGCGUGAGAGUAACUGUUCACGUUUCGUCGGUAUCUAACCAGAAAGCCACGACUAACUACGUGCCAGCAGCUGCGGUAAUACGUAGGUGGCAAGCGUUAUCCGGAUUUAUUGGGCGUACAGGGAACGCAGCCUGUCUUUUAAGUCUGAUG
rnacentral:rRNA from 1 species